CAAACACGGAGCUUCGGGCAAAUGGGUGCGGGUGCGCGCGUACUCCGGCGACCGCGCAGUUGUGUUCGAGGUAGCCGAUCGGGGUGAGGGGAUUGCGUCGCGCGAUAUCCGGCACAUUUUCAAGCCGUUCUAUCGCGGCCGUAACGCGCAGACCACGAAAGGGACCGGACUCGGGCUCCACCUCGUGCAGAAGAUUGCGGCGGCGCAUGGCGGCAGUGUCGCGGUGGAAAGCACCGCCGGAGCAGGGGCCGCGGUCCGGAUCCGGCUUCCGUUAGGAGAAACAGCGGGUUGAUGAAACGCGUUCUCAUCGUGGAAGACGAGCAGUCGCUCGCGUUCAUGCUGGCUGA
rnacentral:misc_RNA from 1 species